rnacentral:rRNA from 1 species
UACAGAGGUCUCAAGCGUUUGUUCGGAUUCAUUGGGCGUAAAGGGUGCGUAGGUGGCGCCGUAAGUCGGGUGUGAAAUUUCGAGGCUUAACCUCGAAACUGCAUUCGAUACUGCGGUGCUUGAGGACUGGAGAGGAGACUGGAAUUCAUGGUGUAGCAGUGAAAUGCGUAGAGAUCAUGAGGAAGACCAGUGGCGAAGGCGGGUCUCUGGACAGUUCCUGACACUGAGGCACGAAGGCCAGGGGAGCAAACGGG